rnacentral:rRNA from 1 species
GAUGAACGCUAGCUACAGGCUUAACACAUGCAAGUCGAGGGGAAACGACAUCGAAAGCUUGCUUUUGAUGGGCGUCGACCGGCGCACGGGUGAGUAACGCGUAUCCAACCUGCCCAUCACUUGGGAAUAACCUUGCGAAAGUAAGACUAAUACCCAAUGAUAUCCCACGAAGGCAUCGGAAUGGGAUUAAAGAUUUAUCGGUGAUGGAUGGGGAUGCGUCUGAUUAGCUUGUUGGCGGGGUAACGGCCCACCAAGGCAACGAUCAGUAGGGGUUCUGAGAGGAAGGUCCCCCACAUUGGAACUGAGACACGGUCCAAACUCCUACGGGAGGCAGCAGUGAGGAAUAUUGGUCAAUGGGCGAGAGCCUGAACCAGCCAAGUAGCGUGCAGGAAGACGGCCCUAUGGGUUGUAAACUGCUUUUAUAGGGGAAUAAAGUGGGUCACGUGUGACUUUUUGCAUGUACCUUAUGAAUAAGGACCGGCUAAUUCCGUG